rnacentral:rRNA from 1 species
AGAGUUUGAUCCUGGCUCAGAACGAACGCUGGCGGCGUGGAUAAGACAUGCAAGUCGAACGAGAGAAUUGCUAGCUUGCUAAUAAUUCUCUAGUGGCGCACGGGUGAGUAACACGUGAGUAACCUGCCCCCGAGAGCGGGAUAGCCCUGGGAAACUGGGAUUAAUACCGCAUAGUAUCGAAAGAUUAAAGCAGCAAUGCGCUUGGGGAUGGGCUCGCGGCCUAUUAGUUAGUUGGUGAGGUAACGGCUCACCAAGGCGAUGACGGGUAGCCGGUCUGAGAGGAUGUCCGGCCACACUGGAACUGAGACACGGUCCAGACACCUACGGGUGGCAGCAGUCGAGAAUCAUUCACAAUGGGGGAAACCCUGAUGGUGUGACGCCGCGUGGGGGAAUGAAGGUCUUCGGAUUGUAAACCCCUGUCAUGUGGGAGCAAAUUAAAAAGAUAGUACCACAAGAGGAAGAGACGGCUAACUCUGUGCCAGCAGCCGCGGUAAUACAGAGGUCUCAAGCGUUGUUCGGAAUCACUGGGCGUAAAGCGUGCGUAGGCUGUUUCGUAAGUCGUGUGUGAAAGGCGCGGGCUCAACCCGCGGACGGCACAUGAUACUGCGAGACUAGAGUAAUGGAGGGGGAACCGGAAUUCUCGGUGUAGCAGUGAAAUGCGUAGAUAUCGAGAGGAACACUCGUGGCGAAGGCGGGUUCCUGGACAUUAACUGACGCUGAGGCACGAAGGCCAGGGGAGCGAAAGGGAUUAGAUACCCCUGUAGUCCUGGCAGUAAACGGUGCACGCUUGGUGUGCGGGGAAUCGACCCCCUGCGUGCCGGAGCUAACGCGUUAAGCGUGCCGCCUGGGGAGUACGGUCGCAAGAUUAAAACUCAAAGAAAUUGACGGGGACCCGCACAAGCGGUGGAGUAUGUGGCUUAAUUCGAUGCAACGCGAAGAACCUUACCUGGGCUUGACAUGUAAUGAACAACAUGUGAAAGCAUGCGACUCUUCGGAGGCGUUACACAGGUGCUGCAUGGCCGUCGUCAGCUCGUGUCGUGAGAUGUUUGGUUAAGUCCAGCAACGAGCGCAACCCCUGUUGCCAGUUACCAGCACGUGAAGGUGGGGACUCUGGCGAGACUGCCCAGAUCAACUGGGAGGAAGGUGGGGACGACGUCAGGUCAGUAUGGCCCUUAUGCCCAGGGCUGCACACGUACUACAAUGCCCAGUACAGAGGGGGCCGAAGCCGCGAGGCGGAGGAAAUCCUGAAAACUGGGCCCAGUUCGGACUGUAGGCUGCAACCCGCCUACACGAAGCCGGAAUCGCUAGUAAUGGCGCAUCAGCUACGGCGCCGUGAAUACGUUCCCGGGUCUUGCACUCACCGCCCGUCA